rnacentral:misc_RNA from 1 species
AACGCACCUUGCGCCCUUUGGACAUUCUGAAGGGCAUGCCUGUUUGAGUAUCAUGAACACCUCAACUCUUUAUGGUUUUCCAUGAUGAGCUUGGACUUUGGGGGGUUUUGCUGGCCCUACGGUCAGCUCCUCUAAAAUAAAUCAGCUUACCAGUGUUUGGUGGGUAUCAUGGGUGUGAUAACUAUCUACGCUCGUGGUUUUCCACCAGAUAACCUUCAGCAGUGGAGGUUCGCUGGAGCUCAUAGACGUCUCUCCUCAGUGAGGACAACCCUUUGAAUGUUUGAUCUCAAAUCAGGUAGGACUACCCGCUGAACUUAA